UGGAGAGUCUCCAUCCAGCUGGAUCACUGUCACAGGUCCUUCCACCUCUCCUCCUCUCUCUGUGAUGGUGUCUGUUUCCUCCAUAUUUGGGCUGCUGCUGGUUGUACUGGUUGGACUAGUGAGACGACGUGUCCGGAGGCAAUCUGAAGACAGAGAUCCUGCAGCAGCUGCUACCUCCUCAUCAGUGAGAAGAACUUCAGCAGAUGGUCGAGACGAGUCAAACAGAAAAAGAG